rnacentral:rRNA from 1 species
CCGAUGUCUAGUAUAAGCAACUAUACUGUGAAACUGCGAAUGGCUCAUUAAAUCAGUUAUCGUUUAUUUGAUAGUACCUUACUACAUGGAUAACCGUGGUAAUUCUAGAGCUAAUACAUGCUAAAAACCUCGACUUCGGAAGGGGUGUAUUUAUUAGAUAAAAAACCAAUGCCCUUCGGGGCUCCCUGGUGAUUCAUAAUAACUUAACGAAUCGCAUGGCCUUGUGCCGGCGAUGGUUCAUUCAAAUUUCUGCCCUAUCAACUUUCGAUGGUAGGAUAGUGGCCUACCAUGGUUUCAACGGGUAACGGGGAAUUAGGGUUCUAUUCCGGAGAAGGAGCCUGAGAAACGGCUACUACAUCCAAGGAAGGCAGCAGGCGCGCAAAUUACCCAAUCCCGACACGGGGAGGUAGUGACAAUAAAUACUGAUACAGGGCUCUUUUGAGUCUUGUAAUUGGAAUGAGUACAAUUUAAAUACCUUAACGAGGAACAAUUGGAGGGCAAGUCUGGUGCCAGCAGCCGCGGUAAUUCCAGCUCCAAUAGCGUAUAUUAAAGUUGUUGCAGUUAAAAAGCUCGUAGUUGAACCUUGGGCCUGGUUGGCCGGUCCGCCUCACCGCGUGCACUGGUCCGACCGGGUCUUUCCUUCUGGGGAGCCGCAUGCCCUUCACUGGGUGUGUCGGGGAACCAGGACUUUUACUUUGAAAAAAUUAGAGUGUUCAAAGCAGGCCUAUGCUCGAAUACAUUAGCAUGGAAUAAUAGAAUAGGACGUGUGGUUCUAUUUUGUUGGUUUCUAGGACCGCCGUAAUGAUUAAUAGGGAUAGUCGGGGGCAUCAGUAUUCAAUUGUCAGAGGUGAAAUUCUUGGAUUUAUUGAAGACUAACUACUGCGAAAGCAUUUGCCAAGGAUGUUUUCAUUAAUCAGUGAACGAAAGUUAGGGGAUCGAAGACGAUCAGAUACCGUCGUAGUCUUAACCAUAAACUAUGCCGACUAGGGAUCGGGCGAUGUUAUCUUUUUGACUCGCUCGGCACCUCACGAGAAA